rnacentral:misc_RNA from 1 species
GUGAAUCAUCGAAUUUUUGAACGCAAAUUGCGCCUUUUUCUGUUGGCAUGUCUGUUUGAGGUCACGAUUUAACAAAUAAUGUGCAGCGUGUUUUGUUGCACACGUUGUUGAGCUUUCCAAGAAUUUUAAAUUUUUGGUGGCGCAUAAUGAACAGCGUGAAAGAUUUGUUCAGUUUGAGUGUAUUAAAAU